UUGUAUAAUGGGUCAGCGACUUAUAUUCUGUAGCAAGGUUAACCGAAUAGGGGAGCCGAAGGGAAACCGAGUCUUAACUGGGCGUUAAGUUGCAGGGUAUAGACCCGAAACCCGGUGAUCUAGCCAUGGGCAGGUUGAAGGUUGGGUAACACUAACUGGAGGACCGAACCGACUAAUGUUGAAAAAUUAGCGGAUGACUUGUGGCUGGGGGUGAAAGGCCAAUCAAACCGGGAGAUAGCUGGUUCUCCCCGAAAGCUAUUUAGGUAGCGCCUCGUGAAUUCAUCUCCGGGGGUAGAGCACUGUUUCGGCAAGGGGGUCAUCCCGACUUACCAACCCGAUGCAAACUGCGAAUACCGGAGAAUGUUAUCACGGGAGACACACGGCGGGUGCUAACGUCCGUCGUGAAGAGGGAAACAACCCAGACCGCCAGCUAAGGUCCCAAAGUCAUGGUUAAGUGGGAAACGAUGUGGGAAGGCCCAGACAGCCAGGAUGUUGGCUUAGAAGCAGCCAUCAUUUAAAGAAAGCGUAAUAGCUCACUGGUCGAGUCGGCCUGCGCGGAAGAUGUAACGGGGCUAAACCAUGCACCGAAGCUGCGGCAGCGACACUAUGUGUUGUUGGGUAGGGGAGCGUUCUGUAAGCCUGUGAAGGUGUACUGUGAGGUAUGCUGGAGGUAUCAGAAGUGCGAAUGCUGACAUAAGUAACGAUAAAGCGGGUGAAAAGCCCGCUCGCCGGAAGACCAAGGGUUCCUGUCCAACGUUAAUCGGGGCAGGGUGAGUCGACCCCUAAGGCGAGGCCGAAAGGCGUAGUCGAUGGGAAACAGGUUAAUAUUCCUGUACUUGGUGUUACUGCGAAGGGGGGACGGAGAAGGCUAUGUUGGCCGGGCGACGGUUGUCCCGGUUUAAGCGUGUAGGCUGGUUUUCCAGGCAAAUCCGGAAAACCAAGGCUGAGGCGUGAUGACGAGGCACUACGGUGCUGAAGCGACAAAUGCCCUGCUUCCAGGAAAAGCCUCUAAGCAUCAGGUAACAUUAAAUCGUACCCCAAACCGACACAGGUGGUCAGGUAGAGAAUACCAAGGCGCUUGAGAGAACUCGGGUGAAGGAACUAGGCAAAAUGGUGCCGUAACUUCGGGAGAAGGCACGCUGAUAUGUAGGUGAAGCGACUUGCUCGUGGAGCUGAAAUCAGUCGAAGAUACCAGCUGGCUGCAACUGUUUAUUAAAAACACAGCACUGUGCAAACACGAAAGUGGACGUAUACGGUGUGACGCCUGCCCGGUGCCGGAAGGUUAAUUGAUGGGGUUAGCGGUAACGCGAAGCUCUUGAUCGAAGCCCCGGUAAACGGCGGCCGUAACUAUAACGGUCCUAAGGUAGCGAAAUUCCUUGUCGGGUAAGUUCCGACCUGCACGAAUGGCGUAAUGAUGGCCAGGCUGUCUCCACCCGAGACUCAGUGAAAUUGAACUCGCUGUGAAGAUGCAGUGUACCCGCGGCAAGACGGAAAGACCCCGUGAACCUUUACUAUAGCUUGACACUGAACAUUGAGCCUUGAUGUGUAGGAUAGGUGGGAGGCUUUGAAGUGUGGACGCCAGUCUGCAUGGAGCCGACCUUGAAAUACCACCCUUUAAUGUUUGAUGUUCUAACGUGGGCCCCUUACCGGGGUUGCGGACAGUGUCUGGUGGGUAGUUUGACUGGGGCGGUCUCCUCCUAAAGAGUAACGGAGGAGCACGAAGGUUGGCUAAUCCUGGUCGGACAUCAGGAGGUUAGUGCAAUGGCAUAAGCCAGCUUGACUGCGAGCGUGACGGCGCGAGCAGGUGCGAAAGCAGGUCAUAGUGAUCCGGUGGUUCUGAAUGGAAGGGCCAUCGCUCAACGGAUAAAAGGUACUCCGGGGAUAACAGGCUGAUACCGCCCAAGAGUUCAUAUCGACGGCGGUGUUUGGCACCUCGAUGUCGGCUCAUCACAUCCUGGGGCUGAAGUAGGUCCCAAGGGUAUGGCUGUUCGCCAUUUAAAGUGGUACGCGAGCUGGGUUUAGAACGUCGUGAGACAGUUCGGUCCCUAUCUGCCGUGGGCGCUGGAGAACUGAGGGGGGCUGCUCCUAGUACGAGAGGACCGGAGUGGACGCAUCACUGGUGUUCGGGUUGUCAUGCCAAUGGCACUGCCCGGUAGCUAAAUGCGGAAGAGAUAAGUGCUGAAAGCAUCUAAGCACGAAACUUGCCCCGAGAUGAGUUCUCCCUGACUCCUUGAGAGUCCUGAAGGAACGUUGAAGACGACGACGUUGAUAGGCCGGGUGUGUAAGCGCAGCGAUGCGUUGAGCUAACCGGUACUAAUGAACCGUGAGGCUUAACCUUACAACGCCGAAG
rnacentral:rRNA from 1 species